GUGGAGAUGGAGACCUUGAUCGUGGAGCAGGUUGUGGUGGAGAUGAUGGUCUGGAUGUUUGAGGAGAUGGUCGCUGUUGUGGAUUUGCGGAGAGUGGUCUUGAGCUCUGAGGAGGUGCCUUCACAUUGGGGGUGAUGAUCUUGUGUUUGCGCCAUAGAAUGACCCCGUGAACCACUUCUCCUAGUGUUGUUAACCCGUUGCAUGCUGGGAAGUCAAGCUCUAGGCCUUCAAAUUGGCUAUCAGGGAUUCUCUCUACGCCAACACUGGCAUAGCCAGGUGGAAGCUCCAUGCCAUGGCAUGUAUGAUUUGGCAGGAUUGGCAAUGCACUCCCGUACGCCACCUAGAUAUAUAAAAGAAAUGAAGUUCUUAAACUUCAAAUUGCGAAAGCACUCCCGAGGCUCCGG
rnacentral:lncRNA from 1 species